GUUCACAUAGUGGCGAGCGGGUGCGUAAAACGUGGGAAUCUGCCAAACAGUUGAUAAAAAUCCUCAAUAAACAUGAAAGCUAGAAAGCGCUGUUUGAUGAGCCCGCGAAGUAUUAGGUUGUUGGUGGGGUAAAGGCCUACCAAGCCGAUGAUGCUUAGCUGGUCUUCUCGGAUGAUCGGCCACACUGGGACUGAGACACGGCCCAGACUCCCACGGGAGGCAGCAGUGGGGAAUUUUGGGCAAUGGGCGAGAGCCUGACCCAGCAAUAUCGCGUGAGCGAGGAAGGGCAGUUUAGCUCGUAAAGCUCUGUCAUUGAGUAUGAGAUAAUGACAUGACUCAAAGAGGAAGCCCCGGCUAACUUACGUGCCAGCCGCAGCGGUAAAACGUGGGGGGCAAGUGUUAUUCGGAAUGACUAGGCGUAAAGGGCAUGUAGGCGGUUAAUCGGGUGCGUUAGUGAAAGCCAUCAGCUCAACUGGUGAAAAACUUUCAACACCAAUUAACUUGAGUAAGAUAGAGGUCAGUGGAAUUUCGUGUGUAGAGAUAAAAUUCACAGAUAUACGAAGGAACGCCAAAAGCGAAGGCAACUUUCUGGGUCUUUACUGACGCUGAGGUGCGAAAGCAUGGGGAGCAAACAGGAUUAGAUACCCUGGUAGUCCAUGCCGUAAACGAUGAGUGUUCGUUUUUGGUCUUAGCCCACAAGGCAGAUCAGAAACCCAGCUAACGCGUUAAACACUCCGCCUGGGGAGUACGGUCGCAAGACUGAAACUCAAAGGAAUAGACGGGGACCCACACAAGCGGUGGAGCAUGUGGUUUAAUUCGAUACUACGCGCAAAACCUUACCAGCCCUUGACAUAUGAGUUAUGUGUUUAUCUAUAAUUGGAUAACACGAAAAACUUAUACAGGUGCUGCAUGGCUGUCGUCAGCUCGUGCCGUGAGGCGUCGGGUUAAGUCCUAUAACGAGCGCAACCCUUAUUUUGUGUUGCUAAAUACCGCAUCGCGGGAUUGCACUCACACAAAACUGCCCGUGAUAUACGGGAGGAAGGUGAGGAUGACGUCAAGUCCGCAUGGCCCUUAUGGGCUGGGCUACACACGUGCUACAAUGGCAAUUACAAUAGGAAGCAAGGCUGUAAAGCGGAGCGAAUCCCGAAAGAUUGUCUAAGUUCGGAUUGUUCUCUGCAACUCGAGAACAUGAAGUUGGAAUCGCUAGUAAUCGCGGAUCAGCAUGCCGCGGUGAAUUUGUACCCGGGUCUUGUGCUCACCGCCCGUCACACCCUGGAAGUGAGUUCCACUGGAAGACGGCGACCCCCGUUUAGCAUAGGCCGACGAGGUCUGGAAG
rnacentral:rRNA from 1 species